AGGGAAAGGAUGGUUGGAGUUGGGAUAAAGAGGAUCCAACAAUAUCUUCGUUGUGGAGAAUGGGAUAUUAGAAACUGAGACUGGAAUGGUGUAGUUACUGAGUCAGGUAAUUUUGCUGAUGACAGACUGAGUUUCCCAGGGCAAAGCCGAAGAGGAAGUGGAGGUGAGAGAAUGGGAGAGUGUGAUAGACGAGGGUUUGUAUGGAAACGUAGCACAGGGAUCACAGUUCCGAGGGGCUUAGAGUCAGACUUCUCGUGUUUUCUGAAGGCAACCAGGGCCUGAGGAGCUAGUCUUAAUAGUGUCUUCGGAAGCCAUAACCAGAUCUAAUUAGAGCCUCCUUUUUAGUCAGCUCUUCUCAGCCUUGGCUGCACAUUAGAAUCAGCUGGGGGGGCUUAAAAACCUCCAGUGCCCAAGCUUCACCCCAGACUAAUUAAAUCAAAAUCUCUGGGGGUGGGGCUCAGACAGCAGCAGUUUUUAAAGCCCCCAGGUGAUUCCAACAUGCGGCCAAGGCUGGGAGCCACUUUUCUAAUUUGUGAAGCCAGAAGCAGCAGCAAGAAAGUUUGACUCUGGAGCCUGGGCUCUGCAUGCUAAAAUAGACCACUCCCAGCACUGGCUGCACAUCAGGCAGGAGUCGGAUUUGCCCUCCAACUGGGUCUGAUCAUCCAGUGGCCUAAAGUUUACGGGAGAAGCAAACCAAAUGACUGAAAACAGUCCAGGAGAUGUGUUUGUGUGCAUUCGCCAUAAAAAGUAAAGAAGAAAGUUUCCUCCCCAAGAACUGAACACACAGUCUGAGGUUCUGUUCUGCAGGACAGCAGGUUGCCACUGAAAUGGCAAUUGGUCAUAUAUACGUGGCUCUGAGGGCUCCUUAAGAACUUGGACUCUUCAGAAGGACGUCGGGUGAAAAGUUCACAGCACAAGUUUUCAGGUUCAUGAACAGUAGAAUCCCCUCACGACACCAAACAGUGAGGAGCAGUUGGACUGGCAGCUCACCCCGAGGCAGUAAUUUUAUGUCCCAGCCUUUAGUUUUGCUUGCUAACAACAUCAUCUAGGGGUUACGGGGAUGCAAGAGAGGAUGCAUUUCAGAUGGCUGAGGAGUCUACUUUUAAAGACCUUCAGGUAUGGUGUUUUACUGCUUUCUGGCCUCUGUCCUUUCUAAUAAAAGGCCCUGGCAACCACCAUUCAACUAUAAUUCCAUGAAUUUGACUAUUUUAGAUGCCUCAUAUAAGUGGAAUCAUGUAGUAUUUGUCUUUCUGUGACUGGCUUGUUUCAUUUAGCUUAAUGUCCUUAAUGUUUCCAUGUCAUAACAUAUUGCAGAAUUUCCUGUUUUUAAAGGCUGAAUAAUAUUCCAUUGUGUGUAUAUGCCACAUUUCUUUACCUAUUCACCUGUUGAUGGACGUUCAGAUUGUUUCCACAUCUUGGCUGUUGUGAAUAGUGCUACAAUGAACUUGAGAGUGCUAAUAUCUCUUUGAGAAUCUGAUUUCAAUUCUUUUGGAUAAAGACCCAGAAGAGAGAUUGCCGGAUUAUAUGGUACUUUUGUUUUUAAUUUUUUGAGGACCUUCCAUACUGUCUUCCAUAAUGGCUGUACCAUUUUCUGUUUCUACCAACAGUGUACAGGGUACCAAUUUCUCCACAUCUUUGCCAACACUUGUGGGGGUGUGUGUGUUUUAAUAAUAACUAUUCUGACAGUUGUGAGGUGAUUAUGAUAUUGAUUUGCAGUUCUCUGAUAAUCAUCAUUUUUUUCAUAUACUUGCUGGCUGUUUGUAUGUAGUCUUUGGAGAACUGUCUAUUCAAAUCCUUAGCGCAUUUUUAAAUGGGGUUCUUGGAUUUUUGCUAUUGAGUUGUGUGAGUUCCUUAUAUAUUUUGGAUGUUAACCCCUUAUUGGAGAUAUGGUUUGCAAAUACUUUCUCCCAUUCUAUUGGUUAACUCUGCACUCUGUUGAUUAUUUCCCUUGCUAUGCAGAGGCUUUUUAGUUUGAUGUAAUUCCACUAGUCUAUUUUUGCUUGUGUUGCCUGGUGUUUGGUGUCAUAUCCAUGAAAUCACUGCCAAGACCAACAUCAUCAAGUUUUUCCCCUGUAUUUUUGCCCAGGAAUUUCGUAGUUUCAGGUCUUACAUAUAAGUCUUUAUUCCAUGUUGAGUUUAUUUUUGUAUAUGGUGUAAGGUAAGGGACCAUUUUUAUUCUCCUGCAUGUGAAUAUCCAGUUUUCCCAGCACCAUUUGUUGAAGAGACUAUCUUUUCCCCAUUGUGUAUUUUCAGCACCGUGUUGAAGAUCAGAUAACUGUAUAUGCGCAAAUUUAUUUCUGAGCUCUCUAUUCUGUUCCAUUGUUAAAAUGUCCAUACUACCCAAAGCAAUCUACAGAUUUGAUGCAAUGUUUUUCAAAAUCGCAAUGGAAUUUUUUUACACAAAUAGAAAAAACAAUUCUAAAGUUUACGUGGAACACAAAAGACUACACAUAGACAAAACAAUCUUGAGAAAGAAGAACAAAGCUAGGGGUAUCACAUUUCCUGAUUUCAAAAUGUAUUUCAAAAACUACAGUAAUCAAAACAGUAGGGUAGUGGGAAACAUUUUCAGAGUGGUACAAUAUUCAGUAAUGUAUUUUUACAAUGACAUUUUAGCCAGUUCUUGGUUGGAUUGUUUACAAAUUUCAUUUAAAUAAAAUAUACAGAAAGAAACAUUCUUGUUCAUAAACUCUUCAUGAUAACAUCUUAUUUUUCCUUAGAAUAAAGUAUAAUAAAUUUCUGGUAAUAAAUUUGGGCUGUAAAUGUUUUGAAGAUUUUAAAUUACACUACAAAAGGCAAAAGGUAACUUGUUUUCCCGCCUAGUGUGUAUGAGGUUUUUAUACAUGCUCACAAAACACCACAUUUUGUUUUAUCUUUUCAGUUAUUUGUGACUGUUUUACCUCUCAGGUAUUUGAUUAAUAGUUUGAGUAUUUUAAACAUGUUAAGUUUUAUAUAUUUUUGUGUGUGAAUUUCCUCUCCAUGUAUUUUGGCCAUUUUCUACCGAGAAAUCAUUGCUCCUUUAUAUUUUAAUAAGAAAUAAUAAGAAAUUAUUAAUCAGUUGUUACUUCUUAUUAUUAAAUUGACUUAGAACAUGGAUUUAUAUAGUAAAACCAAUAAAUACGUUUUCAGUUAUGGCCGUAGCGAAUACUUUCUUCAAUUU
rnacentral:lncRNA from 1 species